rnacentral:rRNA from 1 species
CCUACGGGCGGCAGCAGUGGGGAAUAUUGGGCAAUGGGCGCAAGCCUGACCCAGCAACGCCGCGUGAAGGAAGAAGGCUUUCGGGUUGUAAACUUCUUUUAAGAGGGAAGAGCAGCAGACGGUACCUCUUGCAUCAGCCACGGCUAACUACGUGCCAGCAGCCGCGGUAAUACGUAGGUGGCAAGCGUUGUCCGGAUUUACUGGGUGUAAAGGGGGCGCAGACGGCGAUGCAAGCCAGGAGUGAAAGCCCGGGGACCAACCCCGGGACUGCUCUUGGAACUGCGUGGCUGGAGUGCAGGAGGGGCAGGCGGAAUUCCUGGUGUAGCGGUGAAAUGCGUAGAUAGCAGGAGGAAUACCGGUGGCGAAGGCGGCCUGCUGGACUGCAACUGACGUUGAGGCCCGAAAGCGUGGGGAGCAAACAGGAUUAGAUACCCGUGUAGUC